UCGGUAUUGGUCUAGUGGCUAGGAUUUGUCGCUCUCAGCGGUCAGAAAUGAUCAGUAGAACCGACAAGGCCGGGGUUCAAUUCCCCGAUACCGAA